GGGUGUGUGUAUAGUGGUUAGAACCUAGGGUUCGUAACCGAAAGGUUCGAGUUCGAACCUCGCAAGGGCA
rnacentral:tRNA from 1 species